rnacentral:rRNA from 1 species
CUAGCGCGGUGGUCCCACCUGACCCCAUGCCGAACUCAGAAGUGAAACGCCGUAGUGCCGAUGGUAGUGUGGGGUCUCCCCAUGCGAGAGUAGGGAACUGCCAGGC